GGAGAGAAUCAAAAAGAGAAAAAGCAAAGCCAAAGGCUUCAUUCAUUUCUUUUGUUUUUAUUUUAUUCAGUUCUUUUAGUUUUUAAUCACUUUAUUGUUAAAAUGGGAUUAAUGUGAUGUUUGGCUGCCAAGAAAAGAGUCUUCCUUCACCAACUUGCUACAAAAUUAUGAUGGUAAAUUGAUUAUUAAAAAAUUUGUUGCUAAUUGAUGGCUAAUGUAUAGAUAUUCUUAUGUUUUAGAAAUAUUGUAAUGUCUUGUUGAUAUCAAACCCAUCAAUUUUAACUUAUAGAGAGAGAAUAGACGAGAUGAGUAGUCUCUAU